rnacentral:lncRNA from 1 species
AAACACAUGAUCCUGAAUUUUCUAGUAGGCCUUCCUUACUUGUGAUUACUACCAAAAAGUGCUAUUUUGUAGACCUAAUUAUAAUGGUUUUAAGCACCUUUGAGUAGUAAUCAUAUUCAUUUAACCCAAUUAAUUCAUUAAGGUCCUUAGUAAUUGGUUUUAACCAUUUUGUGGCAAGUUUACAUGUUUUUAUCAGCUUAUAAAUCAAUUCAAGCAUGCCAAAUGAUGGAGGAUCUACUUGGACAAGUUAUGGCAAAGCUUUUGGAAGCUCAAAUUCAUGAAGAACCAAGCUUUGGAGCUCCAUAGCCCUUUGCCAAAGUUGUUCAAAGUAUGCAAGGAGAGAAGCAAGGAGAGAGGAAAAACAGAGUGAAGAAAACAGAGGACAGCAGCUGCAGUCUUCUUUAGCACUUUUUGAGCACUUUCCGAAGUCCAUUUUCUACAUGCUAUAUACCAUUUCAAAGCUCAGGAAGUCAAGAAUCCAACGCUUCAAACCGUGUAUGAUUUGGAGCUGAAAUGAGGAAGUUACAGCCUUUGGAAGAUGACUUCUCCAAGCUGAAGGAAGGAUUCAGCAAAGUGUUGCGAAAUCAGCCUUUUGUUACGAGAAUUUCGCAGCCUUUUUGCACAGUGCUUUGGAUUUCCCCUGAAGUUUCACGCCGCGAUGGAAGCCAAACACCACAAUAUGAAAGCCAACUUCGUAGAGGUGUGGAAUCAGCCUUUUGCUGCAAAGAAAUUUCGCAGACCUCCUUGUGCACCUGCGAAAUUUCGCAGACCUCAUUUUUCACCUGCGAAAUGGUUCCUGGAGCACCCCGAUAUUUGCGACCGACACUUUGGGAUAUUUUUCUUCAGAUAUUUUUGUAUGAAUUUCCAUUCUUCUCCUUGUAAUCCACCAACCAUAAGAUUUCUUAGUUGGGAAGGUUGGAAAAACAUCUCUAUACAUAUUCCCUUGCAUCCACUGUAAGAAAUCAUAUAUGUAAUAUCGAUCAAUAUAUAGAAUAUACAGAGUCUUGCUCUGUUUUUCCUUCUCUUUCACUUUUCAUUUCUUUUUAUUUCUAGCCAACCAAACUCUGAGGAUUUUUCCUCAGAGGAUUCAGAUAUUUUUGUAUGAAUUUCCAUUCUUCUCCUUGUAAUCCACCAACCAUAAGAUUUCUUAGUUGGGAAGGUUGGAAAAACAUCUCUAUACAUAUUCCCUUGCAUCCACUGUAAGAAAUCAUAUAUGUAAUAUCGAUCAAUAUAUAGAAUAUACAAAGUCUUGCUCUGUUUUUCCUUCUCUUUCACUUUUCAUUUCUUUUUAUUUCUAGCCAACCAAACUCUGAGGAUUUUUCCUCAGAGGAUGAGAGGCUAGGCUCUUUGUCUCUUGGAGUGAGGAAAGUCGGGUAAGUUUCCACAUGCAUAAUUUGGAAGUUUUGUUGUUUUAGUUUUUAAUGAAGAGAAAGUGUGACCCGUUAAUGGUUUUUAUCUUUUUAGUUAACUUAAAACGCCUUUAAAUCACCUGGGCCAACACUUGGUAAGGCAAGUGAUCUCCGUCCAUGGAGAUUCACUAGUUUAUCUCUUGCGAGCCUUUGGGAGGUGACUUGAAGGUAGGAUUUUCUAGAAUAGCCAACACUUGGUAAGCUUUUGGACUCCAAGGAGACAUCCAUUAGUUAUCUCUUGCGAGCUUUUGACGGGUAAUCCAAAGUUAAAGAUCACCUUGAAUGGCAAGUGCUAGGUGAGAGGUAUGAGCCAUUGCAAGGUGCAUCAGUGAGAGGGAUUUAGUGUUUGAACCCAUUAAUGGGAAGCAUCUGUACAACACCGGUUGGAGAAGGAACUAUAUGUUAAUUCUCUAAUGCGAGGAAAAGAAACAAGUGACCGGAACUCCCUUUUUGUAUGAGGAACCUGAGCCUAGUGAUCUGAACUCCAAGAAACAUCUUUUCUUUGUAAGUAAAAUCAGUUACUAUUUUUGGUUAGUUUAAAUCUAAACCUUUUUCAUCCAAUGCAAGUUUAUGUUUUCUUUUAAAGAUAACCUUGAAAUGAAAAGACACCAAUUCAACUUUGAAUUAAUAUCAUUUGUGAAGUGAAAACCCAUUCCAGUGAACGAUCCUAGAGCCACUAUGCUAUAGUAGCUUUGUCUUUGCUACCCUAGUAAAUGGUGUAAUAGGUUAUAAAUUUUGUUGAUUACUCCCUCAUUAAAGGAGCACCAACUGAACAUGAAUCAGCUGAGACACUAAUUGGGCACGAAUCAAAUGGCGUCGUUGUCGGGGAUCGAACCCCGAAUCAAAUGGUUCCGUUGCCACUGCCGUUGCUAGGAAUGAAUUAAAUGUCACCCCCCAACCGACUCAUUGCUAGUCCCUUAGCAAUGGAGGAGAUGAAAACUAAGUAAACUAUAAUAAUAUCCAUAAAAGGGAUCAUGCAAAUCACUCCAAAAAAUGAUAUGAGUGGCAUGAUGGACAUCCAUGGAUCAAUAAAGAUGUGAAACUCAACCUAUAAUAAGAGUUGUCAAAGCAUUCACUUGAUCUUAGAGUACAAAGAAUGGAUAUUAUGCAAGUUUAAGCAUCAAAAUAAUUUCCACUCUCAAAAGAUCCAAAUCAAAUUCUUCCACUAAAAGCUAAGUGUUAAUGUGAUUAGCUUCCGAGUAUAGUAUGGAUAACUAUCAUCUCCCCCCAACCUAAGUCUUUCUUUAAGCUUAGCAAAAUUAACCAUCUCUUGAUAGGCUAGGAACGCACCUCUUAUUCACAAUUCUUUUCACUUACUAAACUUAACCAAUUCACUCAUGUAACAAGCAGAGGAUCGGUGACUCCCAACCAAUAAAGGCUUAGGGCACCAGGCUUUAAAGGCUUUCGCCACCCCUUCGGACCAUGCUCAGGUUUCAAGGCAAGUAAAGAAGUUUAUUCUAUAUUUCUUUUUCUUUUUCUUUUUCUUUUUCUUUUUUUUUUCUUUCUUUUUUUUUUCAAAGACUCAUUGGUCUUUAUGAGGUGUCCCAACACUAUUAAAGAGAGGUUAAAGGUGUCAAAUUAUGAUUUCUCAAGCUUAGAGGGUGAGAUAGUUUCACAUCUUAUAACCGGAAUCUAAUGUAUGUGUGUGCGAAUAGCUUAAGGUGGAAGAGAUAAGUUUUCAUGCAAUGGGAGUUUCAAUAAUUCAUCAACUUUUAGAAGAGCAUAAUACAAACUCUAAGAUUCAUGUAAUCAAGUUGAAACUCGACUUCUCUCAUUUAAUUUUGAGAGUUAAUCCUUAAUAUCCAUGGAGUUUAAAGCAAAAAUUUUAAAAUUUAAACAAAAAAGUAGCUAAUUUACCAAAAUAACUUAGCAUUAAUAACAAAAACUUCCUUCCUCAACUUUCACCCCCAACCAAGCUGAACAUUUUCCUCAAUGUGACAAAAGCAAUUGAAAAAUAGGGAGGAAGUGGUACCUCCUGAGUGACAUGGAGUCUGAGUCGUAUAGGGGAAACCACAUGUUUCAAAGAAAACAUAAGAGUUAGUGAGUAGAGGAAAUAGAAAAAUGCCAAGUUUAAACAAAAAUGAUGUCUAUGUAUGAUGUAUCAUCAGUAAUACAUCCAAUCCUAGAAUAUAAGACAUCAAAACAUGGAAUAUAAUAAGUAGAGACAAAAAGUAAAGAGAUGAUCAAGUAAUGGUAGGGUCAUGUGGAACUGAUGCGUCUGUGGUGGCCUCUUGAAUGGGUUGGAUCAGGACUUUGGCCUCUGUUCUGGUAGUCUCCUUAGGUGGCAUAGUCUCCUCAACUGGAGCUCUCAGUUGGUAGCUAUGGGAUUUGAUGGUUUAAGGAGGUCAGAAAUGGAGUGAGAGGCUUUGUGUGUGUGAUCUCAAGGUGAGUGGGGCUUUCAUCUUUAGAUGCAUGGUCGCGGGGCUCUGUUGGCAUUUUUGCAACUUCCCUUGGCUUUGCAAAGUGUUUUUACAAAUCACCCUCCAUUUCACAAGUCAAUUUCGCAAUUUCCAGGCCAUUUCUAAGCUUGGAGGUGAUUUCGCAACCAUUUUGAAGCUUGGAGAUCAUUUCGCAUAAAAGUGGCAUGUUCACUGACCAUUUUUGAAGCUUGGAGCAUUUUCGCAGCGGGGGGUGGAUUUCGUAGAGGAGGGGAAUUCUCGCAGCCCAUUUCGUAGCUUAAAAGUGAUUUCGCAGCUCAUAGGUGAUUUCGCAGCCAUAUCGAAGCUUGGAGAUCAUUUCAUAGCCAUUUCAAAGCUCAAAAGUGAUUUCGCAGGUGUAUCGCAGCUUCAAAAUGAGGAGAACUGUGCUACAAAAUGGCACUCGUGUGCCAAAGUUGGUUUCGCAGCUGCGAAACACCCUUCCAAAUGGCGUCUCGGCUGCGAAAUUUCCGCUCAGCUUUAUGUGCUUGUCUUCAAACGACCAUAACUUCUUCAUUUCACCUCCAAAUUGAGCACUGUUUAAAGCUAUGGACUCCUGACUUCCCAAGCUUUCAAACAAGAUAUCGUAUGCAUAAUUUGAGCUUCAAAAAGGGCUUCAAAAAUGUGUCCAACAGUAGCAAAAUGGAGGUGCGACAUUUCCGUUCAUGGUUUGCACAGUCAUCUUCAAAUGGCCAUAACUUUUCCGUUUCAAAUCCAAAGCGAGCACCGUUUAAAGCUAUGGACUUGUGACUUCCCAAGAUUUGAAACGAGAUAUUGCAUGCAUAAUUUGAACUUCUGGAAGUGAUCAAAAUGUGUCCAACAAUUGCCGAAAUGGGGGUGCGGCUGUGAAAUUGGGAUUUUUCACGUUUUGGAACUUCGCAACCAUUUUGCAGCUGUGAAAUGAGGGUCACUGUGCUGCAAAAUGGCAAUCGUGUGCCAAAAUCGGCUUCGCAAUUGCGAAAUACCCUGCGAAAUGGGACUUUUGGUGCGAAAUCAGGCUUUACCACUUUGCAAUGCAUUUCGCAGCUGCGAAAAUUUUCGCAGAGAGGGCAAUUGGGCUGCGAACUGGUUUCGCAGCAAAGUGCCAAUUUCGCAGAGGCUGCGAAAUCUCAUAGACCCCUGUUUUUGCCCUGUUUUUGACCCGUUUUUGCUCCGAUUUCGCUCCGAAAGACUUUCUUCAAUUUCUUUGCAAUUCCUCUUGAUUUUGAUCAUCCAAAAACCUAUAUUACAUCAAAACAAACUAGAAUUAAAGCAUUGAAAUCAAAAUUAAAGCAUUGAAAUUAACAAAACAAAAAGAUAUGGACUAGCUAGUCUUUAAAAAGACUAAGUCCAUCAAAAAAUUUGAUCCUGAUUUAGCUUGCCCGGAUCCCAUAUGAAGUUUGCAUCCUUCAAUUGAGACUUGGUUUGUAUGAUUUUCCCAUACAAAGCUUGGAGAAAAGGCGGAGGCAUGUGUUUCAUCCUUUCUUCCUUGAUGACUAUCCUCUGUGGUUCUUCAUCUAUAUAGUCAUCUUUCUCUGUACUUUUCCCCUUUUUCUUUCCUUUGAUUUCCUCCCUCUUUUCUUUCUCUGUUUCACUCUCUACCUUAUGCUCUAGCUUGCAUGUGGGCAGAUCAGCCUCUUUACCACUCCUCAGAGUGAUCACUUCUUCAAUUUCCUUCACCAUUGAAGAUUCUCCCUCUUGAGCCUCCAUUUCAUGGAUACUCAUGGAAUUUUGAUAAGGUUGAGAAGGAGAGUUUUCUUUCUCUUGCAUUGUGUUGAGGUUGGCAAGCCUUGAGAUUGAAUCUUGGAGAAUAUCUAACUUCUGAGAUAGAUCAUUUUGCAUUUCAUCCAUCCUUUUAUUCAAAGUACUCUCCACUCUGUCAAUUCUUUGAUUGAUUUGAGCAUUGAUGGCUUCUUGCUUUCCAACAAAAUCUCCCACGACCUUGCAAAGAUUCACCAUAGCUUGUUCAAGGUUUGAGGCUUGCUGUGGUGCUUGAGCAGGUUGCUGAUACUGAGGUGGCUGUGGUUUCCAAGAGAAAUUUGGAUGGUCCCUUCAAUUGGAAUUGUAGGUGUUGCAAUCACCAAACAUUUCCCUCUCGGCUAGAAUGGUAGGACACUCAUCCACCAAGUGCUCAUAUGAUCGACAAAUGGCACAAGGCAUAGCUUGCAAUGGUGUUUGAGAGAUGGCUUGCACUUCUUGCAUCUGGUUCAUUUCUAGCUCUUCCAAUCUCUGCCUUCAUGUUCAUACCAUCAUUCAAAAUUUACAUCUCACCCUUAGCUUUAGGUUGAGACUUCAUUCUCCCCAUAUCUCGAGCAUUUGGUUCAUCCCAUCCUCUUGAGACUUCAGCCACAUAACUCAUGAAGUUCAUGGCUUCCUCUUCUAUGGUAUUCAAUAUGGCAUGCACAACUAGCAACUUGUGAAUUAAAAACAGAGAAAACAAAAGAAAACAAAAGAAAAACAAUUCAAAGAAAGAAAAUUAAGGUAAACUAAAAAACUAAAUAAAAGGUACACUAAAAUAUGAACAAUAAAGAAAUAAAAAGAGUUAGCAAAAGGAAAAAAAAAGUCACCAAACUUGUGAUGAAGAUCUCAAGUACUCUUAAAAGAUCAUAUCACUGCAAAGUGGCACCAUUUGAUUCGGGGUUCGAUCCCCGGCAACGGCGCCAUUUGAUUCGUCCCUAGCAGUGGCAGUGGCAAUGGCACCAUUUGAUUCGAGGUUCGAUCCCCCGGCAACGGCGCCAUUUGAUUCAUUCCCAGCAACGGCAGUGGCAACGACACCAUUUGAUUCAGGGUUCGAUCCCCGGCAACGGCGCCAUUUGAUUCGUGCCCAAUUGGUGUCUCAGCUGAUUCGUGUUCAGCCGGUGCUCCUUGAUUGAGGGAGUAAUCAACAAAAUUUAUAACCUAUUACACCAUUUACUAGGGUAGCAAAGACAAAGCUACUAUAGCAUAGUGGCUCUAGGAUCGUUCACUGGGAUGGGUUUUCACUUCACAAAUGAUAUUAAUUCAAAGUUGAAUUGGUGUCUUUUCAUUUCAAGGUUAUCUUUAAAAGAAAACAUAAACUUGCAUUGGAUGAAAAAGGUUUAGAUUUAAACUAACCAAAAAUAGUAACUGAUUUUACUUACAAAGAAAAGAUGUUUCUUGGAGUUCAGAUCACUAGGCUCAGGUUCCUCAUACAAAAAGGGAUUUCCGGUCACUUGUUUCUUUUCCUCGCAUUAUAGAAUUAACAUAUAGUUCCUUCUCCAACCGGUGUUGUACAGAUGCUUCCCAUUAAUGGGUUCAAACACUAAAUCCCUCUCACUGAUGCACCUUGCAAUGGCUCAUACCUCUCACCUAGCACUUGCCAUUCAAGGUGAUCUUUAACCUUGGAUUACCCGUCAAAAGCUCGCAAAAGAUAACUAAUGGAUGUCUCCUUGGAGUCCAAAAGCUUACCAAGUGUUGGCUAUUCUAGAAAAUCCUACCUUCAAGUCACCUCCCAAAGGCUUGCAAGAGAUAAACUAGUGAAUCUCCAUGGACGGAGAUCACUUGCCUUACCAAGUGUUGGCCCAGGUGAUUUAAAGGUGUUUUAAGUUAACUAAAAAGAUAAAAACCAUUAACGGGUCACACUUUCUCUUCAUUAAAAACUAAAACAACAAAACUUCCAAAUUAUGCAUGUGGAAACUUACCCGGCUUUCCUCACUCCAAGAGACAAAGAGCCUAGCCUCUCAUCCUCUGAGGAAAAAUCCUCAGAGUUUGGUUGGCUAGAAAUAAAAAGAAAUGAAAAGUGAAAGAGAAGGAAAAACAGAGCAAGGCUCUGUAUAUUCUAUAUAUUGAUCGAUAUUACAUAUAUGAUUUCUUACAGUGGAUGCAAGGGAAUAUAUAUAGAGAUGUUUUUCCAACCUUCCCAACUAAGAAAUCUUAUGGUUGGUGGAUUACAAGGAGAAGAAUGGAAAUUCAUACAAAAAUAUCUGAAGAAAAAUAUCCCAAAGUGUCGGUCGCAAAUAUCGGGGUGCUCCAGGAACCAUUUCGCAGGUGAAAAAUGAGGUCUGCGAAAUUUCGCAGGUGCACAAGGAGGUCUGCGAAAUUUCUUUGCAGCAAAAGGCUGAUUCCACACCUCUACGAAGUUGGCUUUCAUAUUGUGGUGUUUGGCUUCCAUCGCGGCGUGAAACUUCAGGAGAAAUCCAAAGCACUGUGCAAAAAGGCUGUGAAAUUCUCGCAACAAAAGGCUGAUUUCGCAACACUUUGUUGAAUCCUUCCUUCAGCUUGGAGCAGUCAUCUUCCAAAGGCUGUAACUUCCUCAUUUCAGCUCCAAAUCGUACACGGUUUGAAGCGUUGGAUUCUUGACUUCCUGAGCUUUGAAAUGGUAUAUAGAAUGUAGAAAAUGGACUUCGGAAAGUGCUCCAAAAGUGUGAAAGAAGACUACAGCUGCUGUCCUCUAUUUUCUUCACUCUGUUUUUCCUCUCUCCUUGCUUCUCUCCUUGCAUACUUUGAACGACUUUGGAAAAGGGCUAUGGAGCUCCAAAGCUUGGUUCUUCAUGAAUUUGAGCUUCCAAAAGCUUUGCCAUAACUUGUCCAAGUAGCUCCUCCAUCAUUUGGCAUGCUUGAAUUGAUUCAUAAGCUGAUAAAAACAUGUAAACUUGCCACAAAAUGGUUAAAACCAAUUACUAAGGACCUUAAUGAAUUAAUUGGGUUAAAUGAAUAUGAUUACUACUCAAAGGUGCUUAAAACCAUUAUAAUUAGGUCUACAAAAUAACACUUUUUGGUAGUAAUCAACUUGCCCUGCAAAAACUAUCCUACAAUGGUCUAGAUUUGGCUUUUGCCUCCUACGGUGCCUACUGGAGGGAAAUUAGAAAGAUUUGUGUUCAUCUUUUUAGACAUUGUAGACAUCUUACUUAAACUACACAAGGAUCGUUUGUUCACAGUUGAUCUAUCUUGGAAUCACAUUAAAGCAGUGCUCAUGGUAAUCUAUUUUUCCUUUUCGGAUACUGCCCUUGAAAAUAAUUUUUUAUUCUUUCAAAAGAAAUUAAUCUUUUAAUUUUAAAAAAAGUUCGGCAAAAUUUUUAUUUGAACAAGUUUUUGAGAAAAUUUUCAUGCUUAUUUAUUGAUUUUUUUUGGUAUUUUGAGAAAGAAUUAGAAACACUAAGAAUGGACCAAAACUUUUGUAACCCAUAUAAGUGUGUACAAUGUCUUCACCGAAAAACAAUUAAAAAAAAAAAAUUGUUUUUCAUAUUGAGAUUUU